CCAGACUCCUACGGGAGGCAGCAGUGGGGAAUAUUGGGCAAUGGGCGCAAGCCUGACCCAGCAACGCCGCGUGAAGGAAGAGGGCUUUCGGGUUGUAAACUUCUUUUGUCAGGGACGAAGCAAGUGACGGUACCUGACGAAUAAGCCACGGCUAACUACGUGCCAGCAGCCGCGGUAAUACGUAGGUGGCAAGCGUUAUCCGGAUUUACUGGGUGUAAAGGGCGUGUAGGCGGGACUGCAAGUCAGAUGUGAAAACCACGGGCUCAACCUGUGGCCUGCAUUUGAAACUGUAGUUCUUGAGUACUGGAGAGGGAGACGGAAUUCCUAGUGUAGCGGGGAAAUGCGUAGAGAUUAGGAGGAACACCAGUGGCGAAGGCGGUCUGCUGGACAGCAACUGACGCUGAGGCGCGAAAGCGUGGGGAGCAACCAGGAUUAGAUACCCCGGUAAC
rnacentral:rRNA from 1 species